GAUGAACGCUGGCGGCGUGCCUAAUACAUGCAAGUCGAGCGAACAGACGAGGAGCUUGCUCCUCGGACGUUAGCGGCGGACGGGUGAGUAACACGUGGAUAACCUACCUAUAAGACUGGGAUAACUUCGGGAAACCGGAGCUAAUACCGGAUAAUAUAUUGAACCGCAUGGUUCAAUAGUGAAAGACGGUGUUGCUGUCACUUAUAGAUGGAUCCGCGCGGCAUUAGCUAGUUGGUAAGGUAACGGCUUACCAAGGCAACGAUGCGUAGCCGCCCUGAGAGGGUGAGCGGCGACGCUGGAACUGGGGCACGGUCCAGACUCCUACGGGAGGCAGCAGUCGCGAAUCUUCCGCAAUGGGCGAAAGCCUGACGGAGCAACGCCGCGUGAGUGAUGAAGGUCUUCGGAUCGUAAAACUCUGUUAUUAGGGAAGAACAAAUGUGUAAGUAACUAUGCACGUCUUGACGGUACCUAAUCAGAAAGCCCCGGCUAACUACGUG
rnacentral:rRNA from 1 species